rnacentral:rRNA from 1 species
UGCAUAUCAAUAAGCGGAGGAAAAGAAACUAACAAGGAUUCCCCUAGUAACGGCGAGUGAAGCGGGAAGAGCUCAAAUUUGUAAUCUGGCACUUUCAGUGUCCGAGUUGUAAUCUCGAGAAGUAUUUUCCGCGCCGGACCGCAUACAAGUCUGUUGGAAUACAGCGUCAUAGUGGUGAGAACCCCGUAACUGAUGCGGAUGCCCGGUGCUUUGUGAUAUACUUUCGAAGAGUCGAGUUGUUUGGGAAUGCAGCUCAAAUUGGGUGGUAAAUUCCAUCUAAAGCUAAAUAUUGGAGCAAGACCGAUAGCGAACAAGUACCGUGAGGGAAAGAUGAAAAGCACUUUGGAAAGAGAGUUAACAGUACGUGAAAUUGUUGGAAGGGAAACGCUUGAAGUCAGACUUGCUAUUCGGAGUUCAGCCGCAAGGUGUAUUCUUCGAUUUGCAGGCCAGCAUCAGUUUUUGGGGGUGGAAAAUCGUGGUUUGAAGGUAGCAGUUUCGGCUGUGUUAUAGCUUUCCACUGGAUUCAUCUUCGGGGACUGAGGAACGCAGUACGCUUUUUGCAAGGCUUUCGAGCUUUUCGUACUUAGGAUGCUGGUGGAAUGGCUUUAAACGACCCGUCUUGAAACAC